AUCCUUUUGUAGUUCAGAAGCAUGUUGAUUGGGUGUGCAUGCCAUUGUCUGACAUGUGUUUCCCUUAAACCUUGCUAUACGACCUCAGGACAUUACCCAUCUGAUG
rnacentral:snoRNA from 1 species